rnacentral:rRNA from 1 species
UACGUAGGGGGCAAGCGUUGUCCGGAAUCAUUGGGCGUAAAGAGCGUGUAGGCGGCUCGGUAAGUCCGCUGUAAAAGUCCAGGGCUCAACCCUGGAAAGCCGGUGGAAACUGUCGAGCUAGAGUCCGGAAGAGGCGAGUGGAAUUCCCGGAGUAGCGGUAAAAUGCGUAGAUCUCGGGAGGAACACCAAUGGCGAAGGCUGCUUCUUGGCUCAUUGCUGACGCUGAGGCGCGAAAGCGUGGGGAGCAAACAGG